rnacentral:rRNA from 1 species
GAUGAACGCUUGCGGCGUGCCUAAUACAUGCAAGUCGAGCGAAUGGAUUAAGAGCUUGCUCUUAUGAAGUUAGCGGCGGACGGGUGAGUAACACUUGGGUAACCUGCCCAUAAGACUGGGAUAACUCCGGGAAACCGGGGCUAAUACCGGAUAACAUUUUGAACCGCAUGGUUCGAAAUUGAAAGGCUGCUUCGGCUGUCACUUAUGGAUGGACCCGCGUCGCAUUAGCUAGUUGGUGAGGUAACGGCUCACCAAGGCAACGAUGCGUAGCCGACCGGAGAGGGUGCUCGGCCACACUGGGCCUGAGACACGGCCCAGACUCCUGCGGGAGGCAGCAGUAGGGAAUCUUCCGCAAUGGACGAAAGUCUGACGGAGAAACGCCGCGUGAGUGAUGAAGGCUUUCGGGUAGUAAAACUCUGUUGUUAGGGAAGAACAAGUGCUAGUUGAAUAAUCUGGCACCUUGACGGUACCUAACCAGAAAGCCACGGAUAACUACGUGCCAGCCGCCGCAGUAA